rnacentral:rRNA from 1 species
UACGUAGGGGGCAAGCGUUGUUCGGAAUUACUGGGCGUAAAGAGUACGUAGGCGGCAAUGUAAGUCUGAUAUUAAAGACUGGGGCUUAACCUCAGGAGUGUAUCGGAAACUACAUAGCUAGAGGACAGUAGAGGAAGUCGGAAUUCUCAGUGUAGCGGUGAAAUGCGUAGAUAUUGGGAAGAACACCGGUGGCGAAAGCGGACUUCUGGGCUGUUACUGACGCUGAGGUACGAAAGCGUGGGGAGCAAACAGG